UAUCUUCCUACAAAGGCAGCUGUCUUUCGCUGUAGGAGACAUCAGGCUCUAACUUCACCUGUGGCAAAGGGAAACUGUUUUGCAGACAGAGUUCUCAGGGAAUCCAGCCUGCACAGCACCUAUUCAGCUUCAGCCUUUUUCCUUGCCCCUACCUCCUUCACUCCUUAAUACACCCCAGGACAGUACCAAACUCUUAACAAAACUGGUGCCAUCCAGGGACCACAAGGCUGGCUACUCCUGGGGCAUCUCUACUGCUAGCCUGAUCUCCAAGCUACUACUACCCUGACCCACCUACAUAAUCUAGUUCAUGUGGGAGCCUGCCCACUACCAAGAUUCCUGACCCCGCUCCCUUUCCAUCCUUGCCUCUCCUCUCUAGUCUCCUGUGACACAGGCUUGCUUACUACUGUGCACCAAGGCCUUUCCACAAGGGGGAGUCUGUCCCCCUCCCUCUUUCAAACCCCACCAAUACAGGUGCUCACUUCCCAUGGUGGACUGGUAGAUUUUACUUACAUGCCUCCUCACAAAAAGACUAAAUAUCUUUUCACUAUGGUGGAUACUUUCUCAGGGUAGGUUGAACCUUUUCCUAUGACAGAAGAAACUGCAAACAUAGUUGCAUCUCACAUUCUUGAAUCUAUUCUGCCCCACUUUGGCCUUCCCCUUACCAUUCAAUCAGACAAUGGAUCAGCCUUCAUUUCCAAGGUAACCCAGGAAGUAUCCAGAGACCUGGGGAAAAAUCAGAAACUCCAUAUUCCAUACAGGCCUCAGGCCUCAGGCAAAGUAGAAAGAGAAAAUGCCAUUCUCAAAACACACCUGUCUAAACUGACGUCUGCACUCCAUUUGUCCUGGCCCUAGCUCCUCCUACUUGCCUUAGCCUGAAUCAGAGCGACUCUGCGGGCCCCUGGCGGACAUAGGCAGGGCCCUGGGUUAAAGCAAACCUAGGCUGUCUGACACAAAGGUCCCAGGAUAUGGAGAGAUCACAGCAGCCUGAACAACUAACUGGUCAUGUCUCUGGAACCAGACCAGCAGGGGAGCUCCUCCCCCCAUUCUCAGGGGUCACAAUGAGCCUGGACCCCUGGACAAAAUCUUGGACCCUGGGAUCAGCAGGAAGUAAGGCCACUCCCUCUUCAAGCGCCUGAUGCCUGGACAUUCAGAUAAGACUUAGGUUUUGCCCAUAACCCUGUGGCCUUUGGCCAGCUGCCUAGGAAACUCUUUAUUUAUCAGCCAGAACCUUUGCACAGCCCAUUCCCCUGCCAUUUCCUAUAGGCUGGAAUGUAUGUCCCCAUAUGCUAAUUAGGCAUCAGCAAGCAACCUUGUACAGCCAAUCCUCUUAGGACCCUCUUCCCACCCUCAGCUGCUUAUAAACCCAUUUCCCUGACAACAAACGAAGCUGUUCACCAAAACUGUCUCCAGAAAGUCUUUUCUUUCACAUGCUCAUGACCAUGGUUGCCUGGGAUGCCUUUGUGGAAAACUCAGCCGGGCCCAGGAGGACUCAGGAACCCACAGCUGCUGCCUGAACAGAGACCCUAUGAAACUGGACAGGAUAGGGACCAGAUACGGUGAACUGGCAACUGUCAUCUCUUGGCUGAGGCCACUCUUCAGUAUUGACUGAAGGCCAGCUGUCCUCUGCCUGGACCUGGAUAGCCUGUUGGGUGUUGGCAAAAACCCUCUAUUUCUCUUCAACACAAAAAAAGGUUGCAGCCCUCCUCGACCACCCCGCGUAACAUUGGCCCCACAGGCUGGGGGCAAGUGGCGCCCAACGUGGGGCUUGAGGCACGGGUCUCGACCGGACAACUAACCACGCUGGAAAUCUCCUCGGGAUGCUGAGAGACAUUUUGAAGAGUGCCCCGCCAUUUCGUCGCUCACAAUUUCUGCUACAG